GAAGGUAUAGCUCAGUGGUAGAGUGCAUGCUUAGCAUGCACGAGAUCCCAGGUUCAAUCCUUGGUGCCUCCC
rnacentral:tRNA from 1 species